rnacentral:lncRNA from 1 species
ACGUCACUUCCGACUAGUGGAGUUUUUAGCCUUUUAACAUUCAAGGAUUAGGUAAGUUCUCCCCGCGGUAGACUUCAAAUACUCUUUGUCCUGCCCCUGCUUGGCGAAAUUUACCGAAAUUAUCUACCUAUCCCGCUGGAGUGGGAGCCGGGGGAGAGCUGGAACCGCGUCUCUGCUGCUCACCUUUGUGUCCUUAGCUCCUUCGCAUGGGGUCCGACCGCAACACGUGCGCUGGAUAAACGCUUGUUAACUGGAGCUCCCUCUUUGCCCACUAGCAGGGCAUUAGCUGGUGCUGAAGACAGUGGCUGCUUGGCGAGCCUGGAUCUCCAAGUGACCCCCUCAGCAACUCCUGAUGAACAGGGACUUGCACUUAGGAAUCUGUUACAGUGAGCACAGAAGCAGACCUGUGGGCUCAUAGUCUUCACCCCCCACCCAUAUAUACAAGAUGAACAGAGUGGAGGUUAAACAACUUGACUAAACAACACAGUUCAUGGUAAAGCCCAAGACUGUACCUGCCCAUCCACUGCCUUUUCCAUGUAUCCUGGAACUGAGCAUAGACCUCUUCCCAGGCAGAGCUGACAGCAAGUAAAGGAGAUCAUAAUCAGGGGACCAAACAACUUUGUCUAAAGUGUGAAUGUCACCUAAGGAGAAGCUGUGAGAUCAGAAGGGUGGGGCAGAGGAGCAGACACCAUGAGGGAGAGUCCUUGGGGGUACAUCUGCCAGACUGACACUGUCUGGCCUGGGCAGUGGAGGGGCUAGCAGGAACCACAGGUACUGGUGGUGUGGCUACUACCGUUACAACUGCCUGUGCUUGGACAUGGACCCUCUGCAAUAUGCGGCAGUUUCAUUCAUUGCCCCCUACAUUCUACACCAAGUAGAAAUGGAAGGCAAUUGGAUACUUCACAGACAAGAUCUAAGUGGAGAAGGAAUGCGUCCUGUGGCUGCAGAGAUCCUUGGAGCUUGGAGGGGAGAGCUUGAGCCCCACUGAUGAUGACCUCCCACAGCUCGCCAACUCAGCCCUCCCUAAGUCCCCAUCGGGGGCCAAUUCUCACUCUGGGGUUGGGGGGACUCCACCAUAGCUCAUCCAUCAUAGGGAUGUUGGUAUCUACUGUGGGUUGGGUAGGGCCGAUGUGCUGAGGAUGGCUCCCCCACAAGCAAGAGAUGUGGAUUUGGGGAGCUUCCCAUCUUGUGUUGAAGGAACAUAACUCAGAAUAAUAAGAGCCAACUAUAACAAACCCACAGCCAACAUCAUACUGAAUGGGCAAAAGCUGCAGGCAUUCCCCUUGAAAAGUGGCACAGGAUAAGGAAGCCCUUUCUCACCACUCCUAUUCAAUAUAGUGUUGAAAGUCCUGAUCACAGCAGUCAGGCAACAGAAAUAAUAAAGGGCAUCCAAAUAGGAAGAGAGGAAGUCAAACUAUCCUUGUUUGCAGACAGUAUGAUUCUAUAUCUAGAAAACCCCAUAGCCUCAGCCCAAAAGGUCCUUCAUCUGAUAAUUUCAGCAAAGUUUCAGGAGACAAAAUCAGUGUACAAAAAUCACUAACAUUCCUAUACACAGUCGCCAAGCCAAGAGCCAAAUCAGGAGCACAAUCCCAUUCAUAAUUGCCACAAAAAA